rnacentral:rRNA from 1 species
UGAGGAAUAUUGGACAAUGGGCGCAAGCCUGAUCCAGCCAUGCCGCGUGCAGGAUGACGGUCCUAUGGAUUGUAAACUGCUUUUGUACAGGAAGAAACAGUUCUACGUGUAGAACCUUGACGGUACUGUAAGAAUAAGGAUCGGCUAACUCCGUGCCAGCAGCCGCGGUAAUACGGAGGAUCCAAGCGUUAUCCGGAAUCAUUGGGUUUAAAGGGUCCGUAGGCGGUUAGAUAAGUCAGUGGUGAAAGCCCAUCGCUCAACGGUGGAACGGCCAUUGAUACUGUCUGACUUGAAUUAUUAGGAAGUAACUAGAAUAUGUAGUGUAGCGGUGAAAUGCUUAGAGAUUACAUGGAAUACCAAUUGCGAAGGCAGGUUACUACUAAUGGGUUGACGCUGAUGGACGAAAGCGUGGGUAGCGAACAGGAUUAGAUACCCAUGUAGUCCCUGAGCGGGCUGGCAAGGCGCAU